rnacentral:rRNA from 1 species
GGCCUAACACAUGCAAGUCGAACGGUAAGGCCCCUUCGGGGGUACACGAGUGGCGAACGGGUGAGUAACACGUGAGCAACCUGCCCUUGACAUUGGAAUAACAGUUGGAAACAGCUGCUAAUACCGGGUAUGACCUCUUAUCGCAUGGUGGGGGGUGGAAAGCCUUGGCGGUCAAGGAUGGGCUCGCGGCCUAUCAGCUAGUUGGUGAGGUAAUGGCUCACCAAGGCUUCGACGGGUAGCCGGCCUGAGAGGGCGACCGGCCACACUGGGACUGAGAUACGGCCCAGACUCCUACGGGAGGCAGCAGUGGGGAAUAUUGCACAAUGGGCGAAAGCCUGAUGCAGCAACGCCGCGUGCGGGAUGACGGCCUUCGGGUUGUAAACCGCUUUCAGUAGGGACGAAGCUAACGUGACGGUACCUACAGAAGAAGCACCGGCCAACUACGUGCCAGCAGCCGCGGUGAUACGUAGGGUGCGAGCGUUGUCCGGAAUUAUUGGGCGUAAAGGGAUUGUAGGCGGUCCGUCGCGUCGAAAGUGAAAACUCAGGGCUUAACCCUGAGCCUGCUUUCGAUACGGGCGGACUAGAGGUAUGCAGGGGAGAACGGAAUUCCUGGUGGAGCGGUGGAAUGCGCAGAUAUCAGGAGGAACACCGGUGGCGAAGGCGGUUCUCUGGGCAUUACCUGACGCUGAGAAUCGAAAGCGUGGGGAGCAAACAGGCUUAGAUACCCUGGUAGUCCACGCCGUAAACGGUGGGCACUAGGUGUGGGGGACAUUCCACGUUCUCCGUGCCGAAGCUAACGCAUUAAGUGCCCCGCCUGGGGAGUACGGCCGCAAGGCUAAAACUCAAAGGAAUUGACGGGGGCCCGCACAAGCGGCGGAGCAUGCGGAUUAAUUCGAUGCAACGCG